GGGUGUCCUCCCACCCCACAGAGGCCCCAUCCUUCCCUUUCUCUCCCUAAGGCUGCUCCAGCAGGGAGUUUAGCUCCAUGGACACCUUUGAAGACUGUGAAGGCGCAGAAGACAUGGAAGAGGAGAGCAGCGCUCUGAGUCUCGCCGGCCUUUUCCAGUCGGACGACAGUCACGAAACCUGUUCCUCCAAAUCUGCUUUCCUGGAGAGGGGAGAAAGCACCCAGGGAGAAAAAGAAGAACGCGAUGAGGAGGAAACGUGAGUGUGAGCGAGGAAAGACUAAGCGCCUCUUUGGGCCACGGCGUCUCUGACUUUCUUCUCGGAAUUGCAGGGCGACCCGCAGCACGGAGGAGGAGCGCGCUGGGGCGUCCACGGGCGGGCUGGCUCCUGCGGGGGCGACGGCUGGUUUCCAGGCGAGGGCGCUGCGCCCGAGGACCUCCGCCCAGGAGAGCUGACCUCCCUGCGGACGCCCCCGCUCCUCGGCUCCAGAGCGCCCGCAUUCCCGGGAGAGGCGGUGUGGGAGCCCGGGCCCUGCCCAGCUACGCAGAAAGCAGCCGGAGCCUCGGCGGCGGCAGAAAGGGGACAACCAGGGCCUCCUCCCAGGAGCCCGAGGGGUGCCCUGGGUGCGCGCCUAGCUCCGCACGGGGGACCUCGGAGCUGCUCUAAGGCGCCUGCAGAGGCGAGCAGAGCCCGCAGCCCACGCCUUCUCAACCGCGCACUUCGACGUUCGGAGCCGGGCAGUUCUUUGCUGUGUGGGCUUCUCUGUGCUCCCACGGUAGGAUGUUUAGCAGCAUCCCUGGCCUCUACCCACUAGGUGCCAGGAAUGCGCCACCCCAUCCUCCACCCCACCCCCAAAUUGUGACAAUCAAAAAUGCCUGCAGACACGCCCACAUUUCUCCAGGGCGGGGUGGGAAUCGGUUGAGAGCCGCUUAGCCCGAGCCUUGGAGGAGCCGGAGCCGCUCAAACCCGGCGGGGGCCGCAGACUGGGAGCUCCCGGUCCGCCUCCCAGAAUCCCUGCGAGCGUUCAUGGGGUGUUCGUGUUAGUGCCGAGAUUGCUUCGUUGUAGAGAGAGUUCGUUCCAAGUUACUUUCUGAGGUAUUUUAUGUAUCGAUUGAUUAGUUUUUAAAUGAGUUUUGUUAUUUUCAGUUGUAUUUUUAGUUUUAUUAGUUGAUUUUCAUUUCUUUGUAGCUUUCUAGUUAUUUAAUUUUAUAGUUUCAGUUACUGGUUUAUAGUUAUUUUCAAAGUUAUAUAGUUGUUGAGUUGUUCAUUUUCAGUUAUUUAUAUGUAGUUGUUUUGUUUUAGGAGUUAUAGAUGUUCAAAUUAAUUUGCUUGGAAUUUAUUUAUUUAUUUAUUUAUUGAGACGGAGUCUUGCUCUGCCGCCCAGGCUGGAGUGCACUGGUGUGAUCUCAGCUCACUGCAAGCUCCGCCUCCCGGGUUCACGCCAUUCUCCUGCCUCAGCCUCCUGAGUAGCUGGGACUACAGGCGCCCGCCACCACGCCCGGCUAAUUUUUUAUUUGUAUUUUUAGUAGAGACGGGGUUUCACCGUGUUAGCCAGGAUGGUCUCCAUCUCCUGACCUCGUGAUCCGCCCGCCUCGGCCUCCCAAAGUGCUGGGAUUACAGGCGUGAGCCACCGCGCCCAGCCGGAAUUUAUUUUUAAUUAUCUUUACAAUUAUUAUCUGAGUUAUUUACCUUCAUAGUUAUUUCACUUUAUCUUAUUGAAGUUUUUGAGUUAUUUAUCUUUAUAGUAACUUAUUUGACUAUUAAAAACUCACUGGAAGUUGAUGAACUACUGUCAACUUAUUUAUUUUCAGAGUGAAAUGUUUUAAUGAAGGGUUUCCCCUAGUUAUCUGGUUUUCGAGUUGCUUAUGUUCACAGGUAUUUAUUUUCAGUUAUUUUAUAUUUGAGUUGUUUAUUUUUAUGUUCUUUUUUUCAAGUUACUUGGUUUUUAGUUAUUUCAUUUUCAGCAUUACUUCAUAUUUGAACAUUAUAUUUUCUGAAUUUUUAAAGAGUUUUUGAGGUAUUUAGUUUUUGAGCUAUUUUCAGAGUUAUUUAUUCUCAGUUAUUUCUUUUCAGCUUUGUAUUUGCCAUUCAAAUUUUUUUUCUGUUCUUUAUUUAAUUUUCAGAUUUUUUUUUCUUUUUUUUUUUUUUUUUGGAGAUGGAGUUUUGCUCUUGUCACCCAGGCUGGAGUGAAGUGCCGCAAUCUUGGCUCACUGCAACCUCCGCCUCCCGGGUUCAAGCAAUUCUCCUACCUCAGCCUCCCAAGUAGUUGGGAUUACAGGCACCUGCCACCAUGCCCAGCUAAUUUGUUGUUGUUGUUGUUGUUGUUGAGACGGAGUUUCUCUCUGUCACCCAGGCUGGAGUGCAGUGGUGCAAUCUCGGCUCACUGCAAGCUCCACCUCCCGGGUUCACGCCAUUCUCCUGUCUCAGCCUCCUGAAUAGCUGGGACUACAGGCAUCUGCCACCACACCCGGCUAAUUUUGUUUGGUAUUUUUUUUUUUUUUUUAGUAAAGAUGAGGUUUCACCAUGUUAGCCAGGAUGGUCUGGAUCUCCUGACCGGGUUUUGCCAUGUUUGCCAGGCUGGUCUCCAACUCCUGACCUCAGGUGAUCCAUUCGCGUUGGCCUCCCAAAGUGCUGGGAUUACAGGUGUGAGCCACCGCACCCGGCCCUCAGAAUUAUUUAGAGUUAGAAUUCUUAGUCUACUAGUCAAGUUUCAAUCAAGAGACACUGUAUCAGUUAUUUCAAGAGAGAAUUUAAUAUAAAUAAUUGUUAUCCAGCUAGUAGAGAUUUAAAAAAAAGUAGUGAUAAUGAGAUAUCAUGAAGAUUUUGACUGCAAGCUCCCAGCCCAAGGACUCAUACAACAAAGAAAAGAGGUUGAAAAUAUCAAAACUCAGAAAUAUGAAGGUGGCCCUAGGGCUGGGGGUUAGUCCUCUGAGGAGGAGGCACCAUCAAUGGUACACGUGGCCCAAGGGCUCAGAGCUCAAGGUCCAGGAGCUGGACGCAGAAUUCUGGAGAGGGGACAUGGCCAGCCCGUGCUGCUGUCUCUGAAUGGGCAUCAUCAGGCUGGUUAUAGGAGUGCUAGGAAAAUGGCAAGCUGGAACCAACUCCCGCUACUGGAACCAGCUGUCACUCUCAGGGUGGAGACAGGAUGCUGACAGUGGGGGUGGGGUGGGGUGCACACAGGAAGGAGCCCGUGGUGGCCCUGCACCCCAGAGCUGGGAAGGGUGGGCUGGAAGCUUAAUUACCUGCACACUCAGCUUUAGAGUUACAUAGAGUUAUGUUAGGAUUCCAUUAGUUUUGGAAUUGUCAGGGGUGAUUUGAUUUCACAUUUUCAUGGGAUAUGGGAUUGGGAUGAGUCUUCAGUCUCCUGGUUUGUUUCUGGAAUAGAGUGGGCCACACCUCCCAGGAGUCUCCCCCAGGGGACUCAAGACAAUCACUUUAGAAUUCAAGAAAACAAAAAUAGUGUGUCUCACUUUGUUCAUAAAGAAGCCCUUUGACAACGUGGCCAAAAAGGGGCAGAGCCUAAGGGACAGACUCUUAGAAAGAUGCCCUUGGAACAGGGUCCCGCAGAGUGUUCCUCUCAAAUUCUUUAGAACUUUACGCUGUUUUGUGGGGCCACCCUCUCCCACGCCCUUUCCUAACAACACAGUGUCUUUCUUGAUAGAGUGUGUUUCAAAUUUGUAGACUGUUUGCACAAUAAAAUAAAGUUCCUC
rnacentral:lncRNA from 1 species